rnacentral:rRNA from 2 species
UACACAUGCAAGUCGAACGGCAGCGCGGGGCAACCUGGCGGCGAGUGGCGAACGGGUGAGUAAUAUAUCGGAACGUACCCAAGAGUGGGGGAUAACGUAGCGAAAGUUACGCUAAUACCGCAUACGAUCUAAGGAUGAAAGCAGGGGACCGCAAGGCCUUGUGCUCCUGGAGCGGCCGAUAUCUGAUUAGCUAGUUGGUGAGGUAAAGGCUCACCAAGGCGACGAUCAGUAGCUGGUCUGAGAGGACGACCAGCCACACUGGAACUGAGACACGGUCCAGACUCCUACGGGAGGCAGCAGUGGGGAAUUUUGGACAAUGGGCGCAAGCCUGAUCCAGCAAUGCCGCGUGAGUGAAGAAGGCCUUCGGGUUGUAAAGCUCUUUUGUCAGGGAAGAAACGGUGGAGGCUAAUAUCCUUUGCUAAUGACGGUACCUGAAGAAUAAGCACCGGCUAACUACGUGCCAGCAGCCGCGGUAAUACGUAGGGUGCAAGCGUUAAUCGGAAUUACUGGGCGUAAAGCGUGCGCAGGCGGUUUUGUAAGUCUGUCGUGAAAGCCCCGGGCUCAACCUGGGAAUUGCGAUGGAGACUGCAAGGCUUGAAUCUGGCAGAGGGGGGUAGAAUUCCACGUGUAGCAGUGAAAUGCGUAGAGAUGUGGAGGAACACCGAUGGCGAAGGCAGCCCCCUGGGUCAAGAUUGACGCUCAUGCACGAAAGCGUGGGGAGCAAACAGGA